UCCCAGGUAGUUCAGCGGUAGAAUCACGCACUAUUAAUGCGUUUGUCGUAGGUUCGAAUCCUACCCUGGGAG
rnacentral:tRNA from 1 species